UACGUAGGUGGCAAGCGUUGUCCGGAAUUAUUGGGCGUAAAGCGCGCGCAGGCGGCUCUUUAAGUCUGAUGUGAAAACUUGCGGCUCAACCGCAAGCGUGCAUUGGAAACUGGGGAGCUUGAGUGCAGAAGAGGAGAGUGGAAUUCCACGUGUAGCGGUGAAAUGCGUAGAUAUGUGGAGGAACACCAGUGGCGAAGGCGACUCUCUGGUCUGUAACUGACGCUGAGGCGCGAAAGCGUGGGGAGCAAACAGG
rnacentral:misc_RNA from 1 species